rnacentral:lncRNA from 1 species
AAAAAAUGUUAAAAAAAUAAAAAUAAAAAUCACAGGGCAGGCAUGAUUCUGUGUUUUAGGAUUAUUCUGUAGCCCGUGAAGGUUGCAGUGACAUUGCUUUUGCUAAAGGAGGCAGCAGGAGAGGCACUCCAGCCCUCUGACCAUCAUCGUGGCCCUCCUCUGGACCUGCUUCAACAGCUCUGCAUCCUUCUUGUAGUCUGGGCCCUAGGCCCAGACACGGUGUUCCAGGUGAGGCCUUACAAGGGCAGAGUAGAGAAGGACAGUCAUUCCCUUCUUAUCUGUCAUGACCAUCAAAGAGGUGAAAAGCAAACAACACUGGGAAACCAUCAGUGAAAGCAGUGAAAUGAGUGUGGAUUACAGGUGUAAAGGUGAGAGUGGCUGGAGAAGCAUGGAGCAUCAUUACUCCUCUACCAGAGCAAAGACACCAUCUGCAGUUGUUAUGUGGACAGCUGCCAUCUCCUGCUGUCCUCAGUGCUUCCUCUGUUACUCAUGGCUCUUGGACUUUGCAGAGAUGGUGUAAUUUUCUCUCAAUGCCUCAUGUCAGUUUAAUCAUCUCUCCUGAAGGGGGCUGUUCUCAGUGCUUGUUUCUGUCUGCCUCGGAUCCCUCACCUUUUUUGCAUUUGUUGGUACAGAAGAACUGACCUACAGCUCCAUAACCAGUCACUCAGGCAUCUGCUUCAGCAUCCUCUGGAACUCAGAAAGCUUCAGGUCCCUCAGUGAAAGGCCUGGGAAAUGCUGUAGCAUGUAGCUUUGGAGAGAACCUCCUCUGCGGGGAAGAAGUUUGCUAUUGCCUACUCCUAGGGUCUGCUUUAUGUCCUGCAACCAAAGCAGGAGCGGGAGAUUAAUUCCAUUAAAAUAAAA